rnacentral:rRNA from 1 species
AAGCGGAGGAAAAGAAACCAACAGGGAUUGCCCUAGUAACGGCGAGUGAAGCGGCAACAGCUCAAAUUUGAAAGCUGGCUUAGGCCCGCAUUGUAAUUUGCAGAGGAUGCUUCUGGCGAGGUGCCUUCCGAGUUCCCUGGAACGGGACGCCAUAGAGGGUGAGAGCCCCGUAUGGAUGGACACCAGACCUGUGUGAAGCUCCUUCAACGAGUCGAGUAGUUUGGGAAUGCUGCUCUAAAUGGGAGGUAAAUCUCUUCUAAAGCUAAAUACCGGCCAGAGACCGAUAGCGCACAAGUAGAGUGAUCGAAAGAUGAAAAGCACCUUGAAAAGGGGGUUAAACAGUACGUGAAAUUGUUGAAAGGGAAGCGCUUGUGACCAGACUUGCGCCGGGCAGCUCAUCAGGGGUUCUCCCCUGUGCACUCUGCCCGGCUCAGGCCAGCAUCGGUUCUCGUGGGAGGAUAAGAACGGUAGGAACGUGGCCCCCCUCCGGGGGGGUGUUAUAGCCUGCCGUACGAUACUCCCGUGGGGACCGAGGUUCGCGCUCCGCAAGGAUGCUGGCGUAAUGGUCAUCAGCGACCCG